rnacentral:rRNA from 1 species
AUUGAACGCUGGCGGCAGGCUUAACACAUGCAAGUCGAGCGGAUGAAGGGAGCUUGCUCCUGGAUUCAGCGGCGGAAGGGUGAGUAAUGCCUAGGAAUAUGCCUGGUAGUGGGGGAUAACGUCUGGAAACGGGCGCUAAUACCGCCUACGUCGUGAGGGAGCAACUGGGGGGGCUUUGGACCUCACGCUAUCAGAUGAGCGUAGGUCGGAUUAGCUAGUUGGUGGGGUAAAGGCCUACUUAGGCGACGAUCGGUAACUGGUCUGAGAGGAUGAUUGGCCGCACUGGAAGGGGGACACGCUCCAGACUCCUGCGGGAGGCAGCAGUGGGGAAUAUUGGACAGUGGGCGAAAGCCUGAUCCAGCCAUGCCGCGUGUGUGGAGAAGAUGCUCGGAUUGUAAAGCACUUUAAGUGGGUGGGAAGGGCAGUAAGUUAAGACGUAGCGGUAUUGACGUUAACAGCAGAAGAAGCACCGGCUAACUUCGUG